rnacentral:rRNA from 1 species
GUCUAUGGCCAUGCCACCUCGAACACACCCAAUGUCUGAUCUCAGAAGUUAAGCAGGGUCAGACCUUGUUAGUACUUGGAUGGGAGACCACCUAGGAAGAGCAGGUGCUGUAGGCA